ensembl:snRNA
GUGUGUUAAGACGAGAGAAUUUUAGCAACCCCCAGGAAAAGGACACAAGUGGUCCUAGUGGACUUUCGACUUUGAGGCAGUGAUUUCAACAGAAUAAUUUCAAGGCAGUGGUUU